AUUGAACGCUGGCGGAAUGCUUUACACAUGCAAGUCGAACGGCAGCACGGACUUCGGUCUGGUGGCGAGUGGCGAACGGGUGAGUAAUACAUCGGAACGUGCCCAGUCGUGGGGGAUAACGUAGCGAAAGCUACGCUAAUACCGCAUACGAUCUAAGGAUGAAAGCGGGGGAUCGCAAGACCUCGCGCGAUUGGAGCGGCGGAUGGCAGAUUAGGUAGUUGGUAGGGGAAAGGCCUACCAAGCCGACGAUCUGUAGCUGGUCUGAGAGGAUGAUCAGCCACACUGGGACUGAGACACGGCCCAGACUCCUACGGGAGGCAGCAGUGGGGAAUUUUGGACAAUGGACGCAAGUCUGAUCCAGCCAUUCCGCGUGCAGGAUGAAGGCCCUCGGGUUGUAAACUGCUUUUGUACAGAACGAAAAGCCUCUGGUUAAUACCUGGGGCUCAUGACGGUACUGUAAGAAUAAGCACCGGCUAACUACGUGCCAGCCGCCGCCGUAA
rnacentral:rRNA from 1 species